rnacentral:rRNA from 1 species
UACGAAGGGGGCUAGCGUUGCUCGGAAUCACUGGGCGUAAAGCGCACGUAGGCGGAUUGCUAAGUCAGGGGUGAAAUCCUGGAGCUCAACUCCAGAACUGCCUUUGAUACUGGCGAUCUCGAGUCCGGGAGAGGUGAGUGGAACUGCGAGUGUAGAGGUGAAAUUCGUAGAUAUUCGGAAGAACACCAGUGGCGAAGGCGGCUCGCUGGCUCGAUACUGACGCUGAGGUGCGAAAGCGUGGGGAGCAAACAGG